rnacentral:rRNA from 1 species
UGCACCUCGAACGACUCUACGUGGAGGUAACUCGCGGGGGAAAAGUGGCGAAAGGGGCAGUAAAGCGUGGGUAACCUACCCCGAGGCCUGGGAUAGCCAUCCUAACGGUUGGGUAAUACCAGAUAAUCUGACGCAGGCACCUGCUCGUGUCAGCAAACGAAUCUCGCCUCGGGAGGGGCUCACGUGCUAUUAGCUCGUUGGCGGGGUAACGGCCCACCAAGGCAAAGAUGGCUAGCGGGUGUGAGAGCACGACCCGCGCCACUGGCACUGAGACACUGGCCAGACACCUACGGGUGGCUGCAGUCGAGGAUCUUCGGCAAUGGGCGCAAGCCUGACCGAGCGACGCCGCGUGCGCGAUGAAGGCCUUCGGGUUGUAAAGCGCUGUCGAGGGGGAGGAAAGCCCGCAAGGGUCUGACCUAGCCCUGGAGGAAGGACGGGCUAAGUUCGUGCCAGCAGCCGCGGUAAGACGAACCGUCCUAACGUUGUUCGGAUUCACUGGGCUUAAAGGGCGCGUAGGCGGGCCCGCCAGUCCGGGGUGAAAGCUUUCGGCUCAACCGGAAAAGUGCCUCGGAAACUGCGGGUCUAGAGGGAGGUAGGGGCAUGUGGAACUUCUGGUGGAGCGGUGAAAUGCGUUGAUAUCAGAAGGAACGCCGGUGGCGAAAGCGACGUGCUGGACCUCUACUGACGCUGAGGCGCGAAAGCCAGGGGAGCAAACGGGAUUAGAUACCCCGGUAGUCCUGGCCCUAAACGAUGAGGACUAGGUAGCGGACUAAACAUGGGUUCGCUGCCGAAGCUAAAGUGCUAAGUCCUCCGCCUGGGGAGUAUGGUCGCAGGCUGAAACUCAAGGAAUUGACGGGGCUCACACAACGGGUGGAGCAUGUGGCUUAAUUCGAGGCUACCCGAAAAA